rnacentral:rRNA from 1 species
GACGAACGCUGGCGGCGUGCUUAACACAUGCAAGUCGAACGGAAAGGCCCUGCUUUUGUGGGGUGCUCGAGUGGCGAACGGGUGAGUAACACGUGAGUAACCUGCCCUUGACUUUGGGAUAACUUCAGGAAACGGGGGCUACUACCGGAUAGGAGCUCCUGCUGCAUGGUGGGGGUUGGAAAGUUUCGGCGGGUGGGGAUGGACUCGCGGCUUAUCAGCUUGUUGGUGGGGUAGUGGCUUACCAAGGCUUUGACGGGUAGCCGGCCUGAGAGGGUGGCCGGCCACAAUGGGCCUGAGAGACGGCCCAGACGCCUACGUGAGGCAGCAGUGGGGAAUAUGGCACAACGGGAGGAAGCCUGAGGCAGAAACGCCGCGUGCGGGAUGACGGCCUUCGGGUUGUAAACCGCUUUCGCCUGUGACGAAGCGUGAGUGACGGUAAUGGGUAAAGAAGCACCGGCUAACUACGUG